UUCUGGCGUCAGGAUGAACGCUAGCUACAGGCUUAACACAUGCAAGUCGAGGGGCAGCAUAACGAAAGCUUGCUUUGUUGAUGGCGACCGGCGCACGGGUGAGUAACGCGUAUCCAACCUUCCCUGUAGUAGAGAAUAGCCCGGCGAAAGUCGGAUUAAUGCUCUAUGUUGUAUUUCGAAGACAUCUGAAGAAUACCAAAGGUUUACCGCUAUAGGAUGGGGAUGCGUCUGAUUAGGUUGUUGGCGGGGUAACGGCCCACCAAGCCCACGAUCAGUAGGGGUUCUGAGAGGAAGGUCCCCCACAUUGGAACUGAGACACGGUCCAAACUUCUACGGGAGGCAGCAGUGAGGAAUAUUGGUCAAUGGACGGAAGUCUGAACCAGCCAAGUAAGCGUGCAGGAUGACGGCCCUAUGGGUUGUAAACUGCUUUUAUAUAGGGAUAAAGUCGGGGACGUGUCCCCGUUUGUAGGUACUAUAUGAAUAAGGACCGGCUAAUUCCGUGCCAGCAGCGGC
rnacentral:rRNA from 1 species